UUAAACGGUAAAAUGAUUUAAGAAAAUUCUGUGGAUCUUCUUUUUCUCUCAACGCGAAUGAGACACGCACUUUAUCUCUCUAAAAGCCAUUGUCGCGGUUCGGUUUGAUCGUUGAAAAACGAGUGAUGCCUAUCUCUUUUUUCGUUUUUAUUCAAUUUUAGGGUUAUAUUUUCAAUUCGUAAAAUAAUUGAUAAGAGAGCAUUUAGAAUUGUUAGAUUUGUUUUUAUAUUUGGGUUUAGAUUUACGGAUUGGUAUUCGAAUUUACCGAUUCAAAAAUCUUCUUUUGUCGUGGGAAAUUAGGGUUUUAACCUUACUGUUCGAAAAAGUCGUCGUUGGAGUUUGAUUGUAAGAAGUGAGCUUUAGGGUUUUCGUUCGAGAACCUAUUAGAUAAGUCCGGCCAAGUGCUCGUAGAAUUAUGGCUGCCGGAAGACAUGAUGGUUACAGAGACAAUGAGUACAGGGACCGUGAGUCAGAUUUUGCGGGUUCGAGGAAGGAAAUUGAGUAUUCCAAGGGGGAUUAUGGUCAAUUUAGGAACAGGGAUAGGUAUUACGAGAGGGGUCAUAUUCGGGUUCGUAAUAGUCAGGAUUAUAGAGGCAGGAUUAGACAGAAGGAUGUUAAGGUGAGGGAGAGAGCGAUGAUGAAUGGUGGAUACCGAUCUACAUAUAGUAAAAGUGAUUCGGGAAGCAGUGGUGGUGAGCCUAAAAAGUGCAAUUUUUCAGUUCAGGCCAUGGAUCGAGAACCUGGUGAGCUGUCUAGUGAUGGUUCUGAUGAGUCUGUUGAUUUAGGAAUUCAGGUAAAUAAAGGGAGUGAAGUGAAGAAUUCAGAACACGGUAAUCUCUCAUCGCCGGUUCAAAGUAAGAAGCGAAAGUUUUCUCCUAUUGUCUGGGAUAGUGACGACAGGGAAGUCAAUAGAACAGUUAAGAGUAGGAAAGUUUUACAAUCUAAUUUACCUCCGCCUACUUUGGUCAGGUCAAAUCGCCAAUCUCCGUACCCUUCCCUGGCUGAGGAUGUACAGAUUUCUCCAGCAGAUGAUGCUAAGGUUCACAAGUCAGAACCAUUGCCUCCUGAGAUUAGCAUGGCACCUGAUGUUGUGUUGGAAUCCCCAAUUGAAGUAUCCUCUCCACUUCCUGAAGAUCUGCCCGAGCAUGGAGCAGAGACACUACAUAAUGAUGAACACGUACCUACACGAACCAUAAUAUCCUCUCGAUGGGCAAAUGAUGCUGACUCACCAGCUGAUGAAGGCGAAAUUCCUGAUGAUGAUGAUCUGCAGAAAUUGAAGAAGAGGGGACGAAGACAAUCAGUUACUCCGGAGCUUGGAGAGGUCAAAAGAGAAGGUUCUGAAAGAACAAGAGGAAGAUCCUCUGGAUCUGAUGAACGUAUUAGGUCUUCCAGUAGGGAUAGUUAUCCUGACAAUGAUGACAAAAAUGACUACAUGGAGAUUGGUGUGGACCGCAAUUAUGAUGGUGCUAGUGUUACCCAUUGUGACACGGAAUCAGAGGAUCGAGAACGAUCUAGUGGGCCGGAGCCUGCACUACCCCCACAAAGGAGCGUAAAUAUGCUCCAGGGAUGCAGAAGUGUAGAUGAGUUUGAGAGACUGAACAAAAUAGAUGAAGGCACUUAUGGGGUUGUAUAUAGAGCCAGAGAUAAGAAGACUGGAGAAAUUGUUGCGUUAAAGAAAGUCAAGAUGGAAAAAGAAAGAGAAGGGUUUCCUCUGACAGCUCUUCGGGAAAUAAACGUACUUCUUUCUUUUCACCAUCCCUUUAUUGUGGAUGUCAAAGAAGUAGUGGUGGGGAGCAAUCUUGACAGUAUUUUCAUGGUUAUGGAGUACAUGGAGCAUGAUCUUAAGGGAUUGAUGGAGACAAUGAAACAGCCAUUCAGUCAAAGUGAAGUUAAAUGCCUUAUGCUCCAGCUUUUAGAGGGUGUCAGGUAUCUUCAUGAUAACUGGGUGCUUCACCGGGAUCUGAAAACGUCAAAUUUGCUUUUAAAUAAUUGCGGUGAGUUGAAGAUCUGUGACUUUGGUUUGGCUCGCCAAUAUGGAAGCCCGUUGAAACCAUAUACUCAAUUGGUGGUUACUCUGUGGUACAGGGCUCCAGAACUUCUUUUGGGAGCCAAACAAUAUUCAACAGCAAUUGAUAUGUGGUCGUUGGGAUGUAUUAUGGCUGAGCUGUUAUCAAAAGAACCUUUGUUCAAUGGGAAAACAGAGUUGGACCAACUUAACAAGAUAUAUAGGAUCCUUGGGAAACCAAAUGAGGACAUAUCACAUGGUGUCAACCAUAAGCUUCCAGCUAUGGGUGAUUCUGCUCUGGCUUUCUGGCCUCCAUGGGUGACAGUUUCAGUUACAUUACAAGAAUACUAUGUUUCUACUAAUUAGUGUUAUAUUCCAUUUCAGGCACAACCCUUUGCGUAGGAAAUUUCCUGCCACUUCUUUUACUGGAUCACCAGUACUUUCUGAAGCUGGAUUUGACCUGUUAUCCAAGCUUUUAACUUAUGAUCCUGAGAAGCGGAUCACUGCUGAUGCGGCUCUCAACCAUGAAUGGUUUCGUGAAGUUCCUCUUCCUAAGUCUAAAGAAUUUAUGCCUACUUUUCCCGCGCAGCAUGCACAAGACAGGCGCAUGCGAAGAGUGUUGAAGAGUCCCGAUCCCUUAGAAGAGCAACGAAGAAAAGAGCUGCAACAAGGAGAAUUAGGCAUUGGUGGUGGUUUAUUUGGCUAAUAGUAGUAACUAGAAUCAGAAGCUUUAUUCUUCAUUGGUUUUUUGUGUAGUCUCAGACAACAUAGUUGAGGUGAGAGCUAUGGUUUGUAAGGAUUACAAACAUCAUUUUGAAACCGGUGCUGUUUUUUAGCAGGCACCUUUGGAAAAUUGGGUGGACAUACAAUUCAUUACCUCUAUUUGGGAAUCAGAAUUGUGCAAACCAACAUUUCUUCUUUGGCUCUUCCGUUCCUUAAGAAUGUGUCUUUGACACUUCUUGCAUAGCCGCGUCUGACAUAAUGUACUCCCUCACUUAAGGAUUUUUCAGUUGAAACUCAUGUAUGUAACAUAUUAUAUAUGGAUCAAUAUAAUCAUUUUUCUUAAA